CUAGGAGAUAACAUGGAGGAGGGGGGGAACCUAGGAGAUAACAUGGAGGAGGGGGGGGAACCUAGGAGAUAACAUGGAGGAGGGGGGAACCUAGGAGAUAACAUGGAGGAGGGGGGAACCUAGGAGAUAACAUGGAGAGGGAUGGGGGGAUAAAGUGCAUAUGUCAUACACAUUUUUGGCAAAGCUUUCAUGUACAGUACAAAUGUUUGUGUAUGCGAGGGAGAGAGAGUGUGUGUGUGUGUGUGUGUGUGUGUGUGUGUGUGUGUGUGUGUGUGUGUGUGUGUGCGUGAGCGUGUGCGCGUGCGCGUGCGCGUGCGUGUGUGUGUUUUAGGGGGGUAACUCUUUGAAGGACUCGUUCUGUUUUAUUAAAGGGGAGGUUUCAGAGACCUACAUCCUGUCAAUAUAUUAAAGGGGAGGUUUCAGAGACCUGUUAUCAUCAUUCUAAAGACUACAUCCUGUCAAUAUAUUAAAGGGGAGGUUUCAGAGACCUACAUCCUGUCAAUAUAUUAAAGGGGAGGUUUCAGAGACCUGUUAUCAUCAUUCUAAAGACUACAUCCUGUCAAUAUAUUAAAGGGGAGGUUUCAUUAUAAUACCACCAAAUAAAUCGGGCCUUGAAUUUCCUCAACUGUGCAUUGUAUGUUUGAAUAUUUGCACCCACCAGACGUAACACUAUUAAAAUGUAGCUUGGAGACAUACAGUCUGUGUGUUACCGAUCUAUAUUAACCUCCCACCCCAUCUAGGAUGUUAUAUUUCUAUGGUUCAGAGUAGGAUCCCAGAUC
rnacentral:lncRNA from 1 species